rnacentral:rRNA from 1 species
UACGGGGGGGGCAAGCGUUGUUCGGAAUUACUGGGCGUAAAGGGCGCGUAGGCGGCCUGCUAAGUCGGAUGUGAAAUCCCUCGGCUCAACCGAGGAACUGCAUCCGAUACUGGCGGGCUUGAAUCCGGGAGAGGGAUGUGGAAUUCCAGGUGUAGCGGUGAAAUGCGUAGAUAUCGGGAGGAACACCUGUGGCGAAAGCGGCUCACUGGACCACAACUGACGCUGAGGCGCGAAAGCUAGGGGAGCAAACAGG